GGGAAUCUACCCUGAACUGCGGAGUAGCUCCGGGAAACUGGAAUUAAUACCGCAUGUGCCCUGAGGGGCAAAGAUUUAUCGGUUCAGGAUGAGCCCGCGUCCGAUUAGCUAGUUGGUGGGGUAAAGGCCUACCAAGGCGACGAUCGGUAGCUGGUCUAAGAGGAUGAUCAGCCACAUUGGGACUGAGACACGGCCCAAACUCCUACGGGAGGCAGCAGUGGGGAAUAUUGGACAAUGGGCGCAAGCCUGAUCCAGCCAUGCCGCGUGAGUGAUGAAGGCCCUAGGGUUGUAAAGCUCUUUCAGUGGGGACGAUAAUGACGGUACCCACAGAAGAAGCCCCGGCUAACUUCGUGCCAGCAGCCGCGGUAAUACGAAGGGGGCUAGCGUUGUUCGGAAUUACUGGGCGUAAAGCGCACGUAGGCGGACAUUUAAGUCAGGGGUGAAAUCCCGGGGCUCAACCCCGGAACUGCCUUUGAUACUGGGUGUCUUGAGUCCGGAAGAGGUGAGUGGAAUUGCGAGU
rnacentral:rRNA from 1 species